UGUGUGUGUGUUUAGUAGAAAGACAAUCCAUUUUUCCCCCAGUCAAUUUUUUUCUUUGAUCUAAAGAACUUGCUUCUUUUCUUUGAAGUUGUUCACAAUAGGGCAUGAUAGAAGGAGCACAGAGUGCCAGAGGCAGGAAACUACUAUGCUUCACUAGUGACUCAUAAGAAAACUUAAUAGAAGGUCUCUAAUGCCCACUGGCCCUACAGUUCCUGAUUGAUGUAGUCCCAAACUCAGCAGGCUCCCCUCAUUGAACCAAGCAUGUCAGAGGAUGGAGAAAGUGUGGGGGAAGGGUCCCUUGGCCUCGGUAGUCAGGAAGUCAAAGAGAGAGAGAGAGAGGCAGAGACACAGGCAGAGGGAGAAGCAGGCUCCAUGC